AGAGUUUGAUCCUGGCUCAGAUUGAACGCUGGCGGCAUGCUUUACACAUGCAAGUCGAACGGUAACAGGGAGCUUGCUCCGCUGACGAGUGGCGAACGGGUGAGUAAUAUAUCGGAACGUACCCAAGAGUGGGGGAUAACGUAGCGAAAGUUACGCUAAUACCGCAUACGAUCUAAGGAUGAAAGCAGGGGACCGCAAGGCCUUGUGCUCCUGGAGCGGCCGAUAUCUGAUUAGCUAGUUGGUAGGGUAGAGGCCUACCAAGGCAUCGAUCAGUAGCUGGUCUGAGAGGACGACCAGCCACACUGGAACUGAGACACGGUCCAGACUCCUACGGGAGGCAGCAGUGGGGAAUUUUGGACAAUGGGCGCAAGCCUGAUCCAGCAAUGCCGCGUGAGUGAAGAAGGCCUUCGGGUUGUAAAGCUCUUUUGUCAGGGAAGAAACGGGUGGGGCUAAUAUCCCUAUCUAAUGACGGUACCUGAAGAAUAAGCACCGGCUAACUACGUGCCAGCAGCCGCGGUAAUACGUAGGGUGCAAGCGUUAAUCGGAAUUACUGGGCGUAAAGCGUGCGCAGGCGGUUUUGUAAGUUUGUCGUGAAAUCCCCGGGCUCAACCUGGGAAUGGCGAUGAAGACUGCAAGGCUAGAGUUUGGCAGAGGGGGGUAGAAUUCCACGUAGCAGUGAAAUGCGUAGAGAUGUGGAGGAACACCGAUGGCGAAGGCAGCCCCCUGGGUCAAAACUGACGCUCAUGUACGAAAGCGUGGGGAGCAAACAGGAUUAGAUACCCUAGUAGUCC
rnacentral:rRNA from 1 species